UGCCUGUGAUGUACCUACAAUUCUGACACCUCGUAUGAGACUGUAAGAACAGUCCCCUGAUUUUACUCUUCAGGCUGAGGCAG